GUCCAGUGGAAAUCCGCAAUUUCUACUUCGAUACUUUAAAGCAGUCGCGCGAGACGAACGCACGCGCGGGUACAGCGGCUACAACGCGGCCGAACGAACUGGCAAAACCGUAAACAAGGGGGACAAAAGCUACAGCAGCAGAACUAUUAUCUAUUAGGUACGAUCGGACUAAUUGGGUGUAUCUAAAAGUGAUUUGACGGACGACCGGUUAAAGUCGUCUCAAUUGGUUUGAUGGCCGGCCGGCCGAACUUAUGGAACAUCCGGACCAAUAUUUGUGGACCGCAUGUAAUUGCGCGCGUUUUAAUUGCACUGAACUCUUAACUGAACGCUACA